rnacentral:rRNA from 1 species
GUGCCAGCCGCCGCGGUAAUACGUAGGUUGCAAGCGUUGUCCGGAUUUACUGGGCGUAAAGGAUGCGUAGGCGGAUAUUUAAGUGAGGUGUGAAAUCCCCGGGCUUAACUUGGGGGUUGCAUUUCAAACUGGAUGUCUGGAGUGCAGGAGAGGAAAGCAGAAUUCCUAGUGUAGCGGUGAAAUGCGUAGAGAUUAAGAAGAAUACCAGUGGCGAAGGCGGGUGACUGGACUGUAACUGACGCUGAGGCAGGAAAGCGUGGGGAG